GCACAACGCGAAGAACCUUACCAGGCCUUGACAUCCAAUGAACUUUCUAGAGAUAGAUUGGUGCCUUCGGGAACAUUGAGACAGGUGCUGCAUGGCUGUCGUCAGCUCGUGUCGUGAGAUGUUGGGUUAAGUCCCGUAACGAGCGCAACCCUUGUCCUUAGUUACCAGCACGUAAUGGUGGGCACUCUAAGGAGACUGCCGGUGACAAACCGGAGGAAGGUGGGAUGACGUCAAGUCAUCAUGGCCCUUACGGCCUGGGCUACACACGUGCUACAAUGGUCGGUACAGAGGGUUGCCAAGCCGCGAGGUGUAGCUAAUCCCAGAAACCGAUCGUAGUCCGGAUCGCAGUCUGCAACUCGACUGCGUGAAGUCGGAAUCGCUAGUAAUCGCGAAUCAGAAUGUCGCGGUGAAUACGUUCCCGGGUCUUGUACACACCG
rnacentral:rRNA from 1 species